rnacentral:piRNA from 1 species
UGGGACACAUUGGAAGAAUUGUCUUGGGC